rnacentral:snoRNA from 5 species
AUAACAAUUUGUGAUGCUUUAGGGAGCCUAUUGUUUGAUGGUUUAUAGGAGCCGGAUUUGUCUUUUUGACUAAUUUUCAACCUAUUCUUACUUCCAAAACUGUUGCAAUGGCUCUCGUUUUUGUUAAAUUUUUCUCUUUUCUCUUCUUUGGCAUAGUUUAUUUUUAAUAAAUUAUUUCAGGGUGAGAUAGAGAAAGAAUAAUGAGUAUCGUAGAUAAAUCUUCGGUUCCGAAUAGUGUAACUGUUGGUGCUGAGGUAAUCCAUCUUUAAAACCAUCGCCGUUAGAGGUUGCUUCUGAUAUUUUCGGUUAAGCGACCCAUGAAAUGGUGAUGACCUGAGGUAUGGAACAUCU